rnacentral:pre_miRNA from 1 species
ANUGUACUCCCUCCGUUCCAAAAUACUUGACUUCCAUUUGUCCAAAAAUGGAUGUACCUAUAUACUAAGACAUGUCUAGAUACAUAUAUAUUUUGACAAAUAGAAGGCAUGUAUUGUGCAACGGAGGGAGUAGAAU